rnacentral:rRNA from 1 species
AUAAGUUAGCCGCUAUAUUAAAAACAACGCCCAUUUCUAUGGAUAACCCCUAAGGCAUUGAGACAUGUUGAAAUAAAUCAUUUUUCCCCUUUAGUACGGGAGACAGAAAAGGAAUUUGUUGCGCUAUAGAAAAAGUACCGCAAGGGAAUACUGAAAGAGAUGUGAAAUAGAUCAGUUAAGUUUUAAAAAGCAGAGAUUUGAGCUCGUACCUUUUGCAUAAUGGUUUAGCUAGAAAUUUUCAAGCAAAGCGUACUUUAGUUUGACAUCCCGAAACUAGGUGAGCUACUCCAAGACAGCCUAAUGUAGGGCAAACUCGUCUCUGUGGCAAAAGAGUGGGAUGAGCUUCGAGUAGCGGUGACAGGCCUAUCGAACUUAGUUAUAGCUGGUUGCCUGGGAAGUGCAUAGGAGUUCAGCUUUUCGAAUUCUUUCCUCGUUUAGGGAUAUUUAUUUUAGAUAAUAAGAGAAGUCGAAGGAGUUAGCUAAAAGGGGUACAGCCCUUUUGGUGGAAGAUACAACUUUUUUGGAGGGGUAAAGAUCUUACAUUUAGUAAUAAGGUAAAAUGUUUUGGUGGGCUUGAAAGCAGCCAUCCCCGGGGAAUGUGUUACAUCUCAAAUAUAUGUUUUGCUCUAAAUUUUGAUAAUUGCAUCUCAGCCCUUCAAUAAUUACCAGGCCACCCCAUGCAGUCAUGGGGGUGAUUAUGCUAAUAUGAGUAAUAAGAGGGCAUUAUAAGCGUCCCUCUCCCGGCACGAGUGUAUCUCGGAUUGGACUAUCCACCGAAUUUUAACGGUCCCCAUCAAGGAGGGUCUUGGGUAACAAAUGCAUUAACUAGAAAAUUGCCCAGUACUUUACCGUUGAUCCUACACAGGUGUGCUUCUGAGGAAAGACUAAUUGAAAGAGAAGGAACUCGGCAAACAUGUUCAAGCCUCGCCUGUUUCCCAAAAACAUCGCCUCUUGUUAGCUAAAAAUAAGAGGUCCAGCCUGCCCAAGGACUAUGUGUUUAACGGCUGCGGUAUUUUGACCGUGCGAAGGUAGCGUAAUCACUCGUCUUUUAAAUAGAGACCCGUAUGAAUGGUAAAACGAGGGCUUAGCUGUCUUCUUUUUUAUGUCAAUGAAAUUGAUUUUCUCGUGCAAAAGCGAGGAUAACCUCAUAAGACGAGAAGACCCUGUGAAGCUUUAGAUAAUAUACAGAUUUGGUCAAGGACCCCCUGAUAAGGGAUUUAGUUACUGACUUCUGUUUUAUUGUCUUCGGUUGGGGCGACCACGGGGAGUCAUACAACCCCCGCGUGGAGUGGGUACAAGAGUAUUUUUGUCCUUAGAAUUAAGAGCUUCUGCUCUAAAAAACAGAAUUUCUGACCUUGUAAGAUCCGGCAGUGCCGAUUAACGGACCAAGUUACUCCAGGGAUAACAGCGCCAUCCUCUUUCAGAGUUCUUAUCGACAAGGGGGUUUACGACCUCGAUGUUGGAUCAGGACAUCCUAAUGGUGCAGUCGCUAUUAAGGGUUCGUUUGUUCAACGAUUAAUAGUCCUACGUGAUCUGAGUUCAGACCGGAGUAAUCCAGGUCAGUUUCUAUCUAUGAUUUAAUCUUUUCUAGUACGAAAGGACCGAAAGGAAUAGGCCUCUGCUUUUAGUACGCCUUUUUCUGAUCUAUUGCAGACAACUAAAAUAGAUGUAAGAAGAUACCUAUGCUAGGU